CCCAAAGAGAAAAUUUUAUUAUUUCUAUCACAAAAUCAGACAAUCACAGAGUAUCCUGAGUUGGAAGGAGCCCAAAAAGAUCAUCAGAGUCCAACUCCUGGCCCUGCACAGGACAAGGCCAUGUGCUUGAGAACAUUGUUCAACUCCUUUCAUCCUGCCUUCAUUUCAUUUUCUAAUAAACAGGAACUGAUGCACUGGCUGCAAGCUGUGAGGAAGCAGCAUGCAGUAUUUCACAUGCAACGAAGCCUGAAAAGUUUCAUUUGUUGGAGACUGCUCCAUACCUUAUGUGGCUGAAUUUUCCAAACAGUAACAAACAGCCAGUGAAAUGAGUUUGCAUUCGGACACACUUGGCUCAGCAGGCUGUGGUUUAGCCCCAUAGGUAAGCUCAGAUUUGACAUGGGUUAAAAUAAAAUAGUCCUUGGCGACCAGUCAUGGUAACUGAAAUCUCACUCUUGGAGGACUGGUUAAGAGGGUCCAGAUCCAAUUCUUCCACCGUCACUGCAGCUGGAACAGAGCUGGUCUGUCAGUGCCCAGCUCCAUUAAUCCUACGUGUCUGAUCUGUCUGAGUUUCACUAAGAAAACAAAGUAAGGGAGCCCUGAGACGCGCAGACAUAAAUGAAGAAAUACAUUCCCGUUUCCAACUGUCCGCACAUUCUCAGCAAAGUUGCACCUCUGCUCCAUUACUCAGCAUGUGGUUCCAAUUGUGACAACAAUGCGCGUUUGUUCGGCCGCGCGCUGGCUGCGAACGGCGGUGUUUAAAUACUGUGAGCUGGGUUUAAAUCCAGCCUGGCCUGGGACUUGCCAGGCAGGGUCAAGUGUCUGGCAUCAGCCUGCUACGUUCUGGUCGGUAUAAUCUUAUAGAUGGCCCGAGCAGCAGAACCAGACUCUUUGAUGUCACAAAGGCAAAUUCAUGCGUACACUGAGUACUUUUAACGAGGGCAAAGAAAGAGGGAUACAGGGGGAAAAGGCAAGCAAGGAAAAAAACAGUAUCUAUCUAGGCUUUCAAGCCUCAUGUGGCUGCCAAAACUUCAGCACCACAGCCCUGGCUCUCCUGGUGCCAGUUAAGGAGCUGCAUAGAGAUGUUCACACCAGUGAAGAUAUUUAGACUCAGUGUUUCUAGUGAAAGCACCAGAGAAAGAGGAUAGGUUUAAAGGUGGCUCAUUACACACCACAGCCAGGCCCUUCUGCAUCCGAGUUUAAACAGGCACUGUAGCACUCUCAGCAUUUUUGAAAGUCAGACUUAAGCAUCCAAAAUAAGAACUGAAGAGCUUUGGUUUGAGACAGUGUGUUUUCUGAUCCUGACUUAAAAGGAAGAGGUCAGAUAAGGGCCUCAGAGAUGGUGAGAUUACUCCUUUGGACAGUGGAAUAUUUUUUAGCUUGG
rnacentral:lncRNA from 1 species